UCGUGCGUCAUUUCCGGGAGGGCGCGGAAUUCGAGUCCAGAGCUUUCCUGCCGAGUAGUUGGUGGUGAGGCACCGGCAAUGGCCAGAGUCAUCGCUAAGCCGCCACCUGUCCUUGCGUCCGGCUCUUUCUAAGUCGAUAGGCCUCGCAAGCCCUGUCUCUCCUCCACGGAGGACAGCGGGAGAGCGUCCUGAGGAGAGACUAGAACCCUGUCCUCAACCCGGUGCGGUCGGUCCUCUGAAGAGCGGGAAGCCGUGGCUCCUCCACCCUGUCGUGGCUUCAGGUGUGGCUUUCCCCAAAUUGGGGGUGUUCCAAUGAAAUAAUAAGGAACCGCCAAUGACAGGCGCGUGAAGCUGCGUGAGAAACGAAAAGAUAAGUUGGUUUCCCAGGAUCGUCGGCUCAGUCCUUACAGGCACCAGAGCAGACAACUAGAAACAUCCAGAGUCAUCUAUCAUGCCCACCGCCUGUGUCACCCUUGACUGAACCAGCACCCAGGUUCCAACCUGAGGACUUUGUGUGGGUCCUCCACUUACCCAGCAAGACUCCGGAACCUACCUGGAAGGAACCGGCGGUAUCCUGUGAUUCUGACAACACCAGGGGCCAUCAAGAUAGUGGGGACUGCAGUUUGGAUCCACCAUUCCCAUCUGAAGGUGGACACAGCCAGCCAGGAGAAAGGUGACAAAUGGAGGGUAAUGCAAAACCCCCAGUGCCCUCUAAAAGUGAGGCUCAUCUAUACUUUGAACUCAGAUUGACACUAAUAUUGGGAAUCUUGGUAGGUAACUCCCAUAUAUGGCCAACUGAAAGUGUUGAAGUCUGGGACUGGGAACUAUCUCGAACUGCAGAUAGGAAAAUAAUAGGCAUUUUCCAGAAUGCUACUUCCCAACCUGUGUUUAGAUUUGACCUGUGCGAUUUCUUUGAUAAUAAUGAACUAAUGGCCGAAUGGGGAAGUGAUAGUCCAGUUCACCCGGGGUGUGGGACAAAAAUGAAGGAAAUAUUCUUCUGGUCUUCAACCUUUUAUGUUUGCCCAGCCGAUGGGCCUGCACAUUGUCAUAAGUGUAAAAGAGAUUAUCAUUGCUCCACUCCAGGCUGCGAGACUGAGUCUGACCAGGGCGGACAUAAAGACCCAUUCAUCUCCAUUCAACGGGUAUAUCCUUCUCGGGAUUGCAAACCUAGGACCUGCAACCCCUUCACUUUAACAAUCAUGGCCUGGAAUGAAUUGAGUUCCAAAUACUGGCUUGCAGGCCGGACCUGGGGAUUUGUGCUUAAAUUUAAGAAUUAUGGAAACAGUCCUGGUGUAGAAUUCACUAUACAGAGAAGGGUAUCAUCCCACCUAGCCCAACUUGUAGGUCCUAUAAGGUACUGGCUGCAUCAACUGGGGGUUAGGAUGUCUCCUUUCUCUGUCCUGCCUUCUCAGACCACUCCACCCAAGGUAGUAAAUCGAUCCACAGUCAAAAUCAAGGGGCUACUGUAACAGACACAGCCUCAACCCUACUGCAGAAUAGACUUAAAAGUUUUAUUCCUGGAUGAUGUCCCUGAGCUCGAGACCUUGAAGUUACUGCAUAAUUGGAUAAAUUAUACACACCCCAGCCUGGGAAGAGAUUGUUGGUAUUGUCUAGGUGCCAGGCCUCCCUUUUAUAUGGGGUAGAGGUCAAUCUCUCUAUUAUGUCAACUACUACCCCACCAGAAAAUUUAAAUUGUAAACUGGAAGAAAGUAAACUCACCCUGGAAGAUUUCCAAGGAAUAGGUACUUGGUUAAUCUCUUCCACUUAUAAUUACUCAGCUUCCCUUUAUAGACAACUUUGUAAUACUCACUGUAAUACAUACCAUCUGCUCUGAACUUACUAGAAUGCAUUUCCCAUUCCCUUUAAGAACAUGGUGAUACCCAAGUAGACAUGUAUACCAGAAAGGAGGGUAGAAAAGUUUUGCCUGCAUAUAAAGGGCAUUCCCGUUAGAAAAAAGAGAAUAGCAAUCACAACUAUGAAGCACAAAUCACAGGGAGCAUCAGCCCUAGUUAUUGAAGAGCAGAGUUUUAAAACACCAAGUAAUAAAGACAUCAGCACCUACGGGCUCUAUUGGACAGCUUGAAAAAACAGGUAGUUUCCCUAGCAGAAAUGGUUUACAGAACCAUCUCGGGCUAGGUUUGUUACUCUUGAAGGAGUAUGUUUUUGUGUAAUCUUAAGUGGAAAAUAUUUCUAUGCCAAUAACUCAGGAGUUCUAUGGGAAACAUUAGAUAUAGUUCAGAAAAACUUAGAUACAAAGGCAAAGAAGUGAACUGAGGUUUCAAAUUGGUACAGUCUUGGUCCCCAUGACUUACCACCCUUUUAAUGGCCACAGUUGGGCCCAUUCUUUUACUUCUUGGCAUCACAAUUGGCCCGUGCAUUUUAAUUGGUUACUGACAUUAAAAGUAGAAUCUAGUCUAUUGUUAAAUAUGAGCCCUACAGGCCCAGUAUCAACCUGUACUUGAACAUGAAUUGAUUUGACUCAUAUGAUCUAGAGCCAGUAGGGAAUGUGAUAGCUAAGGAAACUCCAUUUUGUACCAGGUAGUCAUUUUAGUAGGCUUUUUCCUCUGACUUAAAUUCCUGAAACAUAAGUUCCUGGCAUCUUGCUCCCUUCCCAAAAUGGUGUAACUGUUGUGAAAUGAUUAGCUGCUUGCUCUGGCUUUUGUAAUUCACUUACUGAUGUAUUCAAAGGGAGUGAGGCAAUUUCUCACAGAGCUGCAAAUUCGCAGAAAAAAUUAAGUAAUUGUGGUUUUGCUUUUAAGAAGCCUUCCCUCAACCUCUUUUGGGUGGUAUGCCUUUGAUUUGACUUUAAGGCUGUCACUCUGCUAGUAAUUUUAAUAAAUUCAUGUAACUAUAA